UGUUGAAAUUUUCAUCCAUUUUUAUUAUUAAAAACUGGUUUAACUGACGAAAUAACUAGACAGUUACAUGUGGCAUGCCACGUAUACCUCAUGUUAACAUUCAAAAAUCAGUUUUUAAAAGUAAAAAUGAAUGAAAUUUUUAACA
rfam:Gossypium hirsutum cultivar TM-1 unplaced genomic scaffold scaffold783.1, whole genome shotgun sequence